rnacentral:rRNA from 1 species
GACGAACGCUGGCGGCGUGCCUAAUACAUGCGAGUUGAGCGCUGAAGGUUGGUACUUGUACCAACUGGAUGAGCAGCGAACGGGUGAGUAACGCGUGGGGAAUCUGCCUUUGAGCGGGGGACAACAUUUGGAAACGAAUGCUAAUACCGCAUAAAAACUUUAAACACAAGUUUUAAGUUUGAAAGAUGCAAUUGCAUCACUCAAAGAUGAUCCCGCGUUGUAUUAGCUAGUUGGUGAGGUAAAGGCUCACCAAGGCGAUGAUACAUAGCCGACCUGAGAGGGUGAUCGGCCACAUUGGGACUGAGACACGGCCCAAACUCCUACGGGAGGCAGCAGUAGGGAAUCUUCGGCAAUGGACGAAAGUCUGACCGAGCAGCGCCGCGUGAGUGAAGAAGGUUUUCGGAUCGUAAAACUCUGUUGGUAGAGAAGAACGUUGGUGAGAGUGGAAAGCUCAUCAAGUGACGGUAACUACCCAGAAAGGGACGGCUAACUACGUG